UUUGAAAAAUAAAACAUUAAGAAAAUGUAUGAUUUUAUGAUUUGCUAGAUUUUUAAUUAUCGAUUUUUAAUUGUUUAAACUGUGCAAUGUAAUUUAAUAGUGUUUAAUUGUUGUAUGAAAUCUUUCCUAUGAAAAUCGAUGGUGCUUAUCAAUUAUUACACAUAAUUUUAAUCACAAUUGAUAUAUUUGUCACGGUGGUUGAAAAUAAUGCCUUGCAUUGAAAUGUCGCGGGUUUAAUUAGGUUUAUGGUUUUCUUGUGUAUACAAGCUUAUAAAAGAGAUAUACAAGUUUAUAAUGUAAGAGAGAUAUUUCAAAAUUUUGAAAUAUGAUGUCGUCGCAUAUCCAAUUGAUGAGCAACUAUAGAUGACCAAAAUGUGAUGAACUGAGUUACAGUUGACGUAUGUGAUGACAGUGAUGUACUAUGAUCAUGUCCAUGUAUACUACUUUGUAUAUGACAUAAGUUCUAAUUAAUUCAAUCAAUAAUUAAGUAUUAAUUAAUAUAGCAAUAGCCUAUAACACACACAAGUAACAACGCUAUUUGGAACUAGUUGUUGAGGUUGUUUGUUCCUUUGCUUGGUCCAGAUGGUGGAACUUUCCCCUUUGGAAGCAUAUUGAGAAUCAAUGGCCCAUAUGCUGN
rnacentral:lncRNA from 1 species